CGUGUAGGCGGCCUGUUAAGUCAGGUGUGAAAUUUCAGGGCUUAACCCUGAAACUGCGUUUGAAACUGGCAGGCUUGAGGACAGGAGAGGGAAGUGGAAUUCCCGGUGUAGCGGUGGAAUGCGUAGAUAUCGGGAGGAACACCAGUGGCGAAGGCGGCUUCCUGGACUGUACCUGACGCUGAGGCGCGAAAGCUAGGGGAGCAAACA
rnacentral:rRNA from 1 species